CAGCUCGAAGCCUGCGGGACUUUAGCCCGGACAUAUUUCCAGCACGUAGCCUGCGGACCUUAAGCCCGUUUAUAAUUCCAGCACAUAGCCUGCGGACCCUAAGUCCGGAUAUAAUUCCAGCACAUAGCCUACGGACCCUAAGUCCGGAUGAACAUCACUGAAUGUCAUGCAUACUUACUCGCAAGAAAAUUCAAUUCACAUAACAUCUCACAAUCAUAGUUCAUUUAUUCCAUUCGAAUAAUAGCAUUACAUGGGCACCAUUCAUAUAACUUUUGGCUCAAUAACAUACAUAAGAAUAUAUGUCCAUUUUACUUUCCAAGCUUAACUUUUAAUGUCUAUUCGACUUUAGGCCUUAAAUAUAAAUUAUUUGUCACUCAACUAUAUUCAAAUAGAAUCAAUAGAUCGCAGUACAGUUAUCAUACACAUAUCAAGACAUUAUCAAUUACGUACUAAAUGUACCUAUUCAAAACUUACCUCGGAUAUACUUGAACGGUUGCGGAAAGGCUACUCAAUUACUUUUUCCUUUCCCCUAUCCAACUUCGACCCUCUUUGCUCUUGAGCUUAAUUCAAAAAAAAAUUAAACUAAUCAUUAUUCGACUAUUCAAGCAUUACUUCAAAAUAUAUUAUAUAUACAUAUUCGACUUUCACAUAUAUAGAUCAUAGUAAACAAAAUAAAAUACAUUAUAAGUCAUCUUUGACCUUUCUAUUUUCAUAAAUUUGAACCAUUCCUUGGCCAAACAUUUCAUUCGGCAUUAAGAUACAAACAAGUUAACAUUUUCUUUAUACACACCCUCAAGACCAUAUUCAUAAUUCAUUUAUUUUAAAGUACAUAUCACACAACCACUUAACUAAAGUUUCAUUCAUUCACAACAUAUAAACCCUAUUAAGCUCAUACCCUCUACAUAUCAAACCGAAUUCAAGUGGAGAAAUUAUCACAACUAAGACACAUUCCAAAAACCAACUUAACCAUUUAGCCACAUGAUGGGGUAGUUACACUCACAAUUGUAACCACCUUGCACACAUUCAAGACACAUAGUAAUAUACAAAAUUGAACAAAUAGAAAGGUCAAGUGCGCAUGUCUUAAUAUAAAUACCAUAAUUCAUACUAACUUAGUGACAGACAUAAAAAUCCAUAUAACUGAAUGUACAUGUAUUUAUACAAAUGUAUAUAUUAUGACUGCAUUCUUAAUAUAAGCUUAAUAUAAACUUUACAAUUUAUAUUCGGCCAACUCAAUAUAUAUAUGCAUACAUGAUAUACACUUACUCAUAUACCAAAGACAUACUUAACCUUAAUGAAACAAAACACAUUGCUUAGUCAAUUAAAACUAAUCACAAACCACAUACAACAUUUGUCACUUAAUAAACAUAUUUAUUUAAUCAAUACACUUCCAUUCAUUAUCAUUUAUCACUUUAUAUAAUAUUAUCAAAAUGGAUUAAUUAUACUUUAAUAUACUAUCAUAGCCGAACAUAAUAAUUUUACCUAUGCAUAAACAUUACUCACAUUCUAGCAUUUUAAUACAAAACAUUUGUUCAAGUCAUUAAUCAAGUCCAAGUUCGGCUAUUACACAUAUAAGUACUAGCAAUUUAAAUUUUUACUAGUUCAAACUUCUCUCAUCAACAAUUAUUCAUCAAAACAUAGAGACAAUAAUCUAACCCCUUCAUUAUCUACCAUAGCCGAAUCCUUAAUUCAUCACCCAAAUUCAAAAUUUUGUCAUGGGCUAAGUAAGGAACUUGAUAAUUAACUUAAAAUAAGCUAAAAUUUCAAAAUCUAACAUAAUUUACUAACCUUGUCUCAAGCUUAAGAUGGCCGAAUGGUUUGCUCCUUUUUCUUUCUUUAAAAUCGGCUAAGAAGAACAAAGAUGAACACUUUGUUUUCUUCACCCCCUCUUUUUUUCUUUCUAUUUUUAAUUAUCAUUAUUAUAAAAUAUAAAGCCAUUUAGUUGUCAUUAUACUAAUAGUUAAUACAUAUAUUUUAUAUUAAAUAACAACAUGGCCGGCCACUAUCUUAAAAUGGAUAAUUUGACAUGCAAGUCCAUUCUUUUUAUAUCACGCGCUAAUAGACCAUUACAAUUUAACCUAUCACAUUUUCAAAAUGUCUCACAUAAGUCCUAUAAUAAAAAUUUCACAUACAAAUGAUAAAAUCACAACAUGAAACUUUCACACAUACACUUACACAUAUAAUAAGCCUAGAAUAUAACGGUUAAUUAUUUUUGUGACUCGGUUUCAUGGUCCCGAAACCACUUUUCAACUAGGGUCAAAUUAGGGCUGUCACAACUCUCCCCACCUUAAAAAUUUUCGUCCCUGAAAAUCUUACCAGCAAAUAAGUUAGGAUAUCGUUAUUUUAUAGAGUCUUCAAGCUCCCACAUAGCUUCUUCAACCCCGUGUUUGACCCACAACACUUUCACUAAUGAAAUUGUCUUGUUCUUCAAUUCUUUCACUUCGUGAGCCAAAAUACAAACCGGUUCCUCUUCAUAGCUCAAAUCAGACCAAAUUUCUAUCUUUGGUGGGCUAAUCACAUGAGAAGGAUCGGAUCUGUAUCGACGAAGCAUCCAAACAUGAAAAACGUUGUGAAUCUUUUCAAGUUCAGAUGGAAAAGUAGUCUAUAAGCAAUUGGCCCAAUCCGUUCUGUAAUUUCGUAUGGUCCGAUAAAUCUUGGGCUCAAUUUGCCUUUACGGCCAAAUCUGAGUACCUUUUUCCACGGUGAAACUUUGAGAAAUACUUUGUCUCCGACUUGAUACUCAAUAUCUUUUCGUUUCAAGUCUGCAUACGAUUUUUGAUGAUCUGAUGAUGCUUUCAGGCUUUCACGGGUCACUUUAACUUUUUGUUCGACCUCUUUAAUCAAAUCAACUCCGUAAAUCUUAUUUUCACUGAGUUCGGUCCAAAACAAAGGCGUACGACAUUUACGACCGUAUAAAGCUUCGUAAGGUGCCAUCUUAAUACUUGAUUGAAAACUAUUGUUGUAAGCGAAUUCAAUCAAAGGUAAAUACCGUUCCCAUGAACCACUAAACUCAAGGAUGCAACAUCUCAACAUAUCCUCGAGUAUCUGAAUUACUCGUCCUGAUUGACCGUCCGUCUGAGGAUGAAAAGCGGUGCUAAAAUGCAAUUUAGUACCUAAUGUUUCCUGCAAUUUCUUCCAAAACUGUGAUGUGAAUCUCGGGUCUCUAUCUAACACAAUUGAAAUAGGUACCCCAUGUAAUCUAACAAUUUGAGAGACAUACAACUCGGCUAACUUAUCAAGUGAGAAAUCCGUAUGUACGGGAAUGAAAUGAGCUGAUUUAGUCAAUCUAUCCACAACAACCCAUAUUGCAUCUUUCUUGCUCAGUGACAAAGGUAACCCAGACACAAAAUCCAUCGUAACUCGAUCCCACUUCCACUCGGGUAUCAUGAUCGGUUGAAGUAACCCUGAAGGCACUUGAUGUUCUGAUUUCACUUGUUGACAAAUUAUACACUUCGAUACAAAGUCAGAUAUAUCUAGUUUCAUACCAUGCCACCAAUACUGACGUUUUAGAUCAUUGUACAUUUUCGUGUUACUAGGAUGGACCGACAUUCGGCUAUUAUGAGCUUCGCUCAAAAUCAUCAAAAUAAGUUCCGAAUUUCUUGGAACACAUAAUUGACUUCUGAACCUCAAGCAAUCAUUUUCGUCAAUUUGAAACUCUGAAUCCAUAUUCGAAACACAUUCAGCUCGUUUAGCAACCAAUUCAUCAUUGACUUUCUGAGUUUCACAUAUUUGAUGAAUCAAUAAUGGUUUGGCUUUUAAUUCUGUUACUAACACAUUAUCGGAUGAAACGGACAAGUGUACAUUCAUCGCUCGCAAAGCAAACAGUGACUUGCGACUUAAAGCAUCGGCAACCACGUUAGCCUUUCUCGGGUGAUAGUCAAUGACAAGCUCGUAAUCUUUCAACAAUUCAAGCCAACGUCUUUGUCUCAGAUUCAAAUCUUUUUGAGUCAUCAAAUAUUUGAGGCUUUUGUGAUCUAAAUAUAUAUGACACCUCUCCAAACAAGUAGUGUCGCCAUAUUUUCAAAGUAAAUACGAUGGCGGCUAAUUCAAGAUCAUGGGUCGGAUAGUUUUUCUCAUGUGGCUUUAAUUGCCUCGAAGCGUAAGCUGCAACUCGACCUUCUUGCAUCAAUACACAACCCAGCCCAUGUAAGGACGCAUCACUGUAAAUGAAAAACUCUUUACCGGAUUCGGGCUGCACUAACACUAGAGCUUCAGUCAAAUAGGUUUUCAGUUGGUCGAAACUUUUACUUAACAUCUUUCUGAAGUAGCUUUGUCAUUGGUGUGGCUAUCAUUGAGAAACCCUUUACAAACCGUCUGUAAUAACUGGCAAGUCCCAAAAAGCUCCGAACUUCAGUAACAUUUCUAGGAGGCUUCCAAUCAAGUAUGGCUGAUAUUUUACUCGGAUCAACACGAAUACCCGAUGCGGAUACCACAUGCCCCAAAAAGCUAACUUCUCUCAACCAGAACUCACAUUUACUGAACUUAGCAUAUAACUGCUUGUCUCGUAAAAUCUGCAACACUAAUCUCAGGUGCUCGGCAUGUUCGGUUUCAUCUCGCGAAUAGAUCAAAAUGUCGUCUAUAAACACAACUACAAACCGGUCCAAAUACUGUCUGAAGAUCCAAUUCAUCAAGUCCAUAAAUACCGCAGGGGCAUUAGUGAGCCCAAACGGCAUCGCUAAGAACUCAUAGUGACCGUAUCUUGUUCUGAAAGCAGUUUUAGGCACAUCUAAGUCUCAAACUCUAAACUGAUAAUAACCCGAUCUCAAAUCUAUCUUUGAAAACACUGAGGCUCCCUUCAGUUGAUCAAACAAAUCAUUAAUACGCGGUAACGGAUAUUUGUUCUUUAUUGUCACUUUAUUUAAUUGACGAUAGUCGAUGCACAUUCUCAUGGUUCCAUCUUUCUUUUUCACAAACUAUUCUGGUGCACCCCAAGGUGAGAAACUCGGUCGAGCGAAACCUCUAUCCAUCAACUCUUGCAACUGAGCUUUCAAUUCCUUCAAUUCGGUUGGUGCCAUACGAUACGGAGCUAUCGAAAUUGGUGUAGUCCCAGGUACAAGUUCAAUGGCAAACUCUACCUCUCGAGCAGGUGGUAAUUCUAGUAACUCUUCAGGAAAAACAUCUGAAUACUCACAAACCACUGUCACUGAUUCAAGUUUCUUUUUUGACUCUUUAUUAUCAAAUACGUACGCAAGACAUGCUUCACACCCCUUUUUUUACAUAUUUCUGAGCCAACAUCGAGGAUAUUACUGCUGGUAACCCGUUCAAAUCAGUAGACUCAACUCGGAUUAUCUCAUCAUUAGCACAUCUCAAAUCAAUAGUCUUUCUUUUGCAAUUCACAACUGCAUCAUGUACGGUCAACCAAUCCAUACCGAGAAUAACAUCAAAUUCAUCAAACGGUAAAAGCAUCAAAUCGACCUAAAAACAGGAUCCUCGGAUUAUCAGGGGACAUUUCCUGUACACUUUGUCGACUAGCACAUUCGACCCAAGGGAUUCGACACUCGAAUCAUGAACUCAGUAGACUCAACAGGUAGAGUCUUAUUGGAUGCUAAAGUCUAACAUACAUAUGAAUGAGUAGAACCAGGGUCAAUCAAUGCAAUCACAUCAGUAUCAAAGAGAGUGAAAGUACCGGUAAUAACAUCAGGCGAAGAAGCAUCCUCUCGUGCGCGUAUAGCAUAAGCUCUAGCAGUAGCACAAGCCUCGGAUCUGGUCGUAGCAUCUCUAGACCCUCUCUGACCGCCACUAGCAUUCCCCGUAUUCCUAGGUGGUCUACCUUGAGUUGUAGCAGUACUCGAUUUCCCACUCUGAAUCAUAUUUUGCUCUGACAAUCUCGGGCAGUCUUUGAUGAAGUGGUCAGAUGAUCCGCAUCUAUAACAGGAGUGAUCAUGAAAUCUACAACUCCCCGAAUGCCAUUUUCUAAAAAACUUGCACUCGGUCCUAUCCCGAUGAUCAUUUCCAACACUGGCAACUGAAGUGGCUCGCGUACUCAUAGGAGGUCGAUCACGGUCUCGUUUGGAAAAGCCCGAAGUGUUCUUAGAUCGGCCCGAAUCAUCUCGAAAUUUCUUCGAUGAUUGCUGAAAAGGCUUUCCCGAAGAUCUUUUAUGAAACUCUCCAUCUCCAACAUCAGCUUUCCUUUUCUCUUUACUAAGCUCCUCGGCUUUGCAAGCUCGCUCAACAAGUACUACAAACUCUCUGAUUUCAAGAAUGCCAACAAACAUUUUAAUAUCUUCAUUUAGCCCGUCCUCGAAGCGUUUACACAUAAUAGCCUCAAACGAUACACAUUCUCGAGCAUAUCUACUAAGUUUGAUGAACUUCUGUUCAUAAUCAGUAACUGACAUGGAACCCUGUUUAAGUUCAAGAAAUUCUUUCCGUUUCUGAUCGAUGAACCUCUGACUGAUAUACUUUUUCCGAAAUUCAGUUUGGAAGAACUCCUACGUCACCCGCUCUCUAGGUACAACAGAAAACAAUGUAUUCCACCAAUAAUAGGUUGAAUCACGUAGCAAAGAUAUAACACAUUUCAAGCAUUCAUCGGGUGUGCAAGAUAGUUUAUCAAGUACUCGAAUAGUGUUGUCCAACCAAAAUGUAGCUUGCUCAACAUCAUCACUAUCUGUAGCUUUAAAUUCAGUACCCGUGCUUUCGAAUUCUGUCAAUCGGGGGCUUAUUCAACCUCAUCUGAUCAAUUACCGGAGGUAUCGUGGGUGCAGGGGGUGUAUUUGUCGGAAGUGGGGGUUGUGGAGCAGCCGCAUUAGUUCGAAUGUAUUGGUUAAACCAAUCAUUCAUCACAUUAUAAAGGGCUUGUCUAGCCUCGUCAUUUUGAUUGCUCGCAAUAGGUUGUGAGUCCAUCGGCGUUGUCCCAUGUGCGGGAGCAUGCGCUACACUCUCUACAUCAUCAGCUACCGUUAGAUCGGGAUCGAGAUCCAUUACUAUACGAAAACACAUUUUUAUCUGUCAGAAUUCAUCACACUAUCGUAUUAACACUAUAUGGCAUGUAUAGCUAGACUCAUAUACGCUACGUUAGUCUUACAAUCGACUAAACCGUGGCUCUGAUACCAAUAAAAUGUAAGACGCUUAACCCAAAUCUGAUCGCAGGAUUAAAGCUAAGAGGUAUUACCGAACUAAACAUUUAAUUAUCUCAUUCACAUUGUAAAUAAACAUAAACAGAGAUCGGGCUAAAAUACCUACUGAUAUUUAAGUUAUACGCCAUUUUCGUAUGGCCAAAAUAUUUACAAUUUCAAAACAUCGUUAUCAUCAGUAUAACCUAUACAUGUCAUAUCGAGUCCAAAAUAUAACUGUACCAAAAGAUCGAUAGUGUGAUGAACUGUUGACGAUCCCCGAGUCGGUGGCCAAAAUCAACAAUCUAUAAAACAGAGAAAUAAAGAACAGAGUAAGCUUUCAAAGCUUAGUAAGUUUUAAGCAUCACAAACAAUUAAAGACUUAUCGAUAAUCGAAACAUUCAUUUAAACAGACUUAUUCUCAAUUCAAAUUGCUUUAUGGCCGAAUACACAUAAACAUAUACAUAAAUUUCUCAGCACAUAUUUUUCUUCUACUUAAAGUUUAUACGAUGCUUUUAAAUCAAAUAAUCUCAUAUAUUAACAACAUUUGAUCGAAUAGGUCAUUGUUUUACUCGUAGAUAUAAUAAUCAUUCACACUUAAGUAUCAUUCUUUAAUACUAAUAAUUCACAAAAUCAUUGACUGAAUGUACAUGAGUACAUAAAGCAAUUUUAACAUAUAAUUCAUAUACAAAUAUACCAUGACCGAUUAAAUCAUUCUCAUAUUUGCAAAUAUAACCAUCAAUAUAUAUAUUCUUCUUUGAUGCUAAUGAUUCACUUCGAAAUCAAUUUACCGAUAAGUAAGUAAUACGUACCUAAACAUCUUAAAUGUAUAGUACUUACUCGACGAUGGUUUACUGCAAACAUUCACUAUCGCAAUCUUAUUUAACUUACUGGCAUUAAGCCUGUCAGGUUUUAGAACUUGAAACCAAUUACCAGCACAAGCCUACGGGAAUUUAAACCCGGUAUAAUACUAGCUCGAAGCCUACGGGACUUUAGCCCGAACAUAUUUCCAGCACGUAGUCUGCGGACCUUAAGUCCGGUUAUAAUUCCAGCACAUAGCCUGCGGACCUUAAGUCCGGAUAUAAUUCCAGCACAUAGCCUGCGGACCCUAAGUCCGAAUAUAAUUCCAGCACAUAGCCUGCGGACCCUAAGUCCGGAUGAACAUCACUGAAUGUCAUGCAUACUUACUCGUAAGAAAAUUCAAUUCACAUAACAUCUCAUAAUCAUAGUUCAUUUAUUCCAUUCGAAUAAUAGCAUAACAUGGGCACCAUUCAUAUAACUUUUGGCUCAAUAACAUACAUAAGAAUAUAUGUCCAUUUUACUUUCCAAGCUUAACUUCUAAUGUCUAUUCGGCUUUAGGCAUUAAACAUAAAUUAUUUGUCACUCAACUAUAUUCAAAUAGAAUCAAUAGAUCGCAGUACAAUUAUCAUACACAUAUCAAGACAUUAUCAAUUACGUACUAAAUGUACCUAUUCAAAACUUACCUCGGAUAUACUUGAACGGUUGCGGAAAGGCUACUCAAUUACUUUCUCCUUUCCCCUAUCCAACUUCGACCCUCUUUACUCUUGAGCUUAAUU
rnacentral:lncRNA from 1 species